UCUCCGUCUUUAAUUUUCGCUUUAACAACCCCCAUGAUUCCCUCCAUGGAUCUUCAUCUUCUCCGCUUUUUUCCAGGCUUCUCAUCCGUCAGAUUCUUCCCUCGGUACCUCUCCGAAGUAGACUCUUCAUAGUAAGGUCGAAUCUUCCUUUUCCAAUUGAGAAAGCCAAGUACCACAGAGAACUUGAAGCCGCGGUGGAGGUCACGGAGAGAGCUUGUCGUCUUUGUGUCGGCGAAAAUUAUCUUGAAAGCUUGAAUCUAACCUCUGUUUUUUAGCCAUUCGCUUGGUGCAAAAGUCUCUGUUCUCUGAUGAAGGGCAUAACGUCGAAAACAAAGACCAAACUCCAGUCACAGUGGCAGAUUUUGGUGUCCUGGCUCUUGUUAGUUUAGGACUCUGGAUUUCUACGUUCAAACUUCAAACAAUCUGGUGGAUCUUGUAGUAAGUGCAGUAUCUGAUAAAACGAGAUUUGAUGAGGAAUCAUUAUCACUUGAUGGUGUGCUGGAAGCAAUUGACAGAGGGGGCAGGAAUGCUUUUGCUAUGGGAACAAAACCAGCCACAUAUUGGAUUCUGGAUCCAAUUGAUGGCACCCGAGGGUUUGUAAAAGGAAGUCAGGCCUUAAUUAUAUGUGGUAGGUUUAUCUCUAGUAGUUGAGGGAGAGAUUGUGUUGGGUGUCAUGGGCUGCCCUAACUGGGUUGUACAUAUUUCUUACAAGUCUACCAAUGAUGCCCAAGGUUAUGAAAAUAGUUCUACUGGAUUGGGUAUCAUUAUGGUUGCUCAUGUUGGCUGUGGAACAUGGAUAAAGAGGCGAAAGUGUAUGCUUGAUAGCU